GAUGAACGCUGGCGGCGUGCCUAAUACAUGCAAGUCGAGCGAACGGACGAGAAGCUUGCUUCUCUGAUGUUAGCGGCGGACGGGUGAGUAACACGUGGAUAACCUACCUAUAAGACUGGGAUAACUUCGGGAAACCGUAGCUAAUACCGGCUAAUAUUUUGAACCGCAUGGUUCAAAAGUGAAAGACGGUCUUGCUGUCACUUAUAGAUGGAUCCGCGCUGCAUUAGCUAGUUGGUAAGGUAACGGCUUACCAAGGCAACGAUGCAUAGCCGACCUGAGAGGGUGAUCGGCCACACUGGAACUGAGACACGGUCCAGACUCCUACGGGAGGCAGCAGUAGGGAAUCUUCCGCAAUGGGCGAAAGCCUGAUGGAGCAACGCCGCGUGAGUGAUGAAGGUCUUCGGAUCGUAAAACUCUGUUAUUAGGGAAGAACAUAUGUGUAAGUAAAUGUGCACAUCUUGACGGUACCUAAUCAGAAAGCCACGGCUAACUACGUG
rnacentral:rRNA from 1 species